UACGUAGGGUGCAAGCGUUUAAUCGGAAUUACUGGGCGUAAAGCGUGCGCAGGCGGUUGUGCAAGACAGAUGUGAAAUCCCCGGGCUCAACCUGGGAAUUGCAUUUGUGACUGCACGGCUAGAGUGUGUCAGAGGGGGGUAGAAUUCCACGUGUAGCAGUGAAAUGCGUAGAGAUGUGGAGGAAUACCGAUGGCGAAGGCCAGCCCCCUGGGAUAACACUGACGCUCAUGCCACGAAAGCGUGGGGAGCAAACAGG
rnacentral:rRNA from 1 species